rnacentral:rRNA from 1 species
GACAUAGGUGGCGAACGUUAUCCGGAAUUAUUGGGCGUAAAGGGCGCGUAGGCGGCCUGGCAAGUGGAAGGUGAAAUCCCUCGGCUUAACCGAGGAACUGCCCUCCAAACUGCUUGGCUUGAGUCCGGGAGAGGUGAGUGGAAUUCCCAGUGUAGCGGUGAAAUGCGUAGAUAUUGGGAGGAACACCAGUGGCGAAGGCGGCUCACUGGACCGGAACUGACGCUGAUGCGCGAAAGCGUGGGGAGCAAACGGG